AUCUAUCUGACGAGUCCCAAAAAGGACAAAACACAUGUCCUGGAU
rnacentral:hammerhead_ribozyme from 1 species